GAAAUUUAAAUCAGAAGCUGGAGCUACAAGAAGUGGAAAUGCUGAUGGAGAAACCAGUGGCAGCUUUCACCAAGAAAACCUGCUGUCAUCGCAAGAAUUUAGAAGAAGUAAGUUUAGAAGAGGUGGCAAUGGUUAUGAGGCAGCUGGGAACUUGUUAUGACCCUGAAGGUGAAAAGUUACGAGAUAGGCUGAGCUCAAAUGACAUUACUGCUCUGUU
rnacentral:misc_RNA from 1 species